UACGGGGGGGGCAAGCGUUGUUCGGAAUUACUGGGCGUAAAGGGCUCGUAGGCGGCCAACUAAGUCGGACGUGAAAUCCCCAGGCUUAACCUGGGAACUGCGUCUGAUACUGGAUGGCUUGAAUCCGGGAGAGGGAUGCAGAAUUCCAGGUGUAGCGGUGAAAUGCGUAGAUAUCUGGAGGAAUACCGGUGGCGAAGGCGGCAUCCUGGACCGGCAUUGACGCUGAGGAGCGAAAGCUAGGGGAGCAAACGGG
rnacentral:rRNA from 1 species